rnacentral:rRNA from 1 species
UACGUAGGGUCCGAGCGUUGUCCGGAGUUACUGGGCGUAAAGCGCGCGCAGGCGGCGGUGCUGGCCCGGCGUGAAAGCCCCCGGCUCAACCGGGGAGGGUCGUCGGGGACCGCACCGCUUGAGGACGGUAGGGGCUGGUGGAAUGCCUGGUGUAGUGGUGAAAUGCGUAGAGAUCAGGCGGAACACCCGUGGCGAAGGCGGCCAGCUGGGCCGUCCCUGACGCUGAGGCGCGAAGGCGUGGGGAGCGAACGGG